rnacentral:rRNA from 1 species
AUACGUAGGGGGCGAGCGUUGUCCGGAAUGAUUGGGCGUAAAGGGCGCGUAGGCGGCGCGGUAAGUCUGGAGUGAAAGUCCUGCUUUCAAGGUGGGAAUUGCUUUGGAUACUGCCGCGCUUGAGUGCAGGAGAGGUUAUCGGAAUUCCCGGUGUAGCGGUGAAAUGCGUAGAGAUCGGGAGGAACACCAGUGGCGAAGGCGGGUAACUGGACUGCAACUGACGCUGAGGCGCGAAAGUGUGGGGAGCAAACAGGAUUAGAUACCCUGGUAGUCCACACUGUAAACGAUGAAUGCUAGGUGUAAGAGGUAUCGACCCCUUCUGUGCCGCAGUCAACACAAUAAGCAUUCCGCCUGGGGAGUACGGCCGCAAGGUUGAAACUCAAAGGAAUUGACGGG